AGAAUCAACGCUGGCGGCGUGCCUAACACAUGCAAGUCGAACGAGAAAGUGGAGCAAUCCACGAGUAAAGUGGCGCACGGGUGAGUAACACGUGACUAACCUACCCUUGAGUGGGGGAUAACCUAGGGAAACCUGGGCUAAUACCGCAUAAUACCUACGGGUCAAAGGAGCAAUUCGCUUAAGCGAGGGGGUCGCGGCCGAUUAGUUAGUUGGCGGGGUAAUGGCCCACCAAGACGAUGAUCGGUAUCCGGCCUGAGAGGGCGCACGGACACACUGGAACUGAAACACGGUCCAGACUCCUACGGGAGGCAGCAGUGGGGAAUUUUGCGCAAUGGGGGAAACCCUGACGCAGCAACGCCGCGUGGAGGAUGAAGUCCCUUGGGAUGUAAACUCCUUUCGAUCGGGACGAUAAUGACGGUACCGGAAGAAGAAGCCCCGGCUAACUUCGCGCCAGCAGCCGC
rnacentral:rRNA from 1 species